rnacentral:lncRNA from 1 species
CAACAUGCUGAUGCUCUAUCAUCCCAUUGGAAGUUGUAAUUACUGCGCAUAUAAAGGGAAAAAGUGUGGAAAGAGAAAACGUAAAGUUAGCAUGUGCUCAGAAAAUAGGAGACAGACAAACUGGGGGCAUGAAGUAGACAACAACAACUACGCCACAGUCCAAACUUAAAAAGAUAGUUUGGUCUCACCACUAAAAGGAUAAGCGCUUCAGCAAGCAACACGAGAUACAUUAUCAGCCGAGUGCUGUUCCUGCAAUUUAGUAGCAGUCUGCACUUCAAGUUUUGACAAGAAAAGUAGUUUGCACUUCAAUAUCUUUAGUAGCUAGCAUGAACAAAUAUAUACUAGGCUGAUUUAUUUUCUUGCAGCUACUGAAUAUUCAACAUAAAAUCUUUCUUUUUCAUGAUUAGUGAUACUCCACAGCUACUACCACCAUUUUGGACAUCCUUUAUUUUAUUCUUGACUUUCAAAACAAGAAGUUAUUGUCAUGCUUAAGCUCCUCAAAGAAGGGUGUCGUUAAGGAUCUUCUGGACAGAAAUGAAGCCCCGACUUAUUUGACUGUAAAGUCCGAGCCUAAAAUUACACAGAGCAUCAGUAAAAGAUCAGAUUCCCUACAAUCAAUUGACAUCAAAGUUCUUACAUGUUUAUAGAUCCAACUAGUCACCCAUUUUUAUUAUAAGUAGUCAGCAAUUAGUAUAUUAAUUCACACUUGUCGUCACUACGUUAAACGUACUGACAUGAUUUAAGUAAUAUUAUUCGCUUUUAUAUGUUUACCUAAAUAACUCACAAUCUAGGAUAUCACAAGGCUGGAUCAAGAUCUAUAGCUUAUGAGGAAAGGAGAAAGUUAUCAUCCACCAUUCAUGUUCAGUUUUAGUUACAACUGUACUUGAAUAAGUGUCCUCUUCUUGAAUUAAAUAGCAACAUUUUUGAGUUCUUCCACUAAAUAGUCUACCAACUCCUAUCUUAAAACAAAAAAAUCAGAAGUAAAUAAAACAAAUGAUUGUAGAAUGCCAAUCAUCUUCAAAGCAGUUAAAUAAGAUUUUCUUGAAUGUUAUGCAAUGGUUCAAUAACGUACACGAAUUUGCAGUAAACUUACCAUUUUCAGAUAUAAUCCAGUACCACCCGCAGCUUUUGGAACACGGUCCACACCACAGAUAUAUCUGGUACUUCGCCUUGCAUCCGCAAAUAGAAUGUCCAACAGGAUAUUGAAA